GACGAACGCUGGCGGCGUGCUUAACACAUGCAAGUCGAACGGAAAGGCCCCUUUGGGGGUACUCGAGUGGCGAACGGGUGAGUAACACGUGAGUAACCUGCCCUUGACUUCGGGAUAACUUCAGGAAACUGGGGCUAAUACCGGAUAGGAAUCCUUGCUGCAUGGUGGGGGUUGGAAAGCUUCGGCGGUUUUGGAUGGACUCGCGGCUUAUCAGCUUGUUGGUGGGGUAGUGGCUUACCAAGGCUUUGACGGGUAGCCGGCCUGAGAGGGCGACCGGCCACAUUGGGACUGAGAUACGGCCCAGACUCCUACGGGAGGCAGCAGUGGGGAAUAUUGCACAAUGGGCGGAAGCCUGAUGCAGCAACGCCGCGUGCGGGAUGACGGCCUUCGGGUUGUAAACCGCUUUCAGCAGGGGCGAAGCUUGUGAUGACGGUACCUGCAGAAGAAGCACCGGCUAACUACGUG
rnacentral:rRNA from 1 species